AGGCGGGUCUGUACGUCGAAGGUUAAAGACCACGGCUCAACCGUGGGAGUGCCCUCGAUACGGCAGAUCUUGAGUGUGAGAGAGGUAGGUAGAAUUCCUGGUGUAGCAGUGAAAUGCGUAGAUAUCAGGAGGAAUACCGGUGGCGAAGGCGGCCUACUGGCUCACUACUGACGCUCAUGGACGAAAGCGUGGGUAGCGAACAGGAUUAGAUACCCUGGUAGUCCACGCCCUAAACGAUGUAUGCUUGGUGUUGGAACGUAAGUUCUAGUGCCGGAGGUAACCCGUUAAGCAUACCACCUGGGGAGUACGAUCGCAAGGUUGAAACUCAAAGGAAUUGACGGGGGCCCGCACAAGCGGUGGAUCAUGUGGUUUAAUUCGAUGCAACGCGAAGAACCUUACCCAGGCUUGAAGUGCUAGUGACCGCUGCCGAAAGGUAGCUUUUCUUCGGAACAUUAGCAGAGGUGCUGCAUGGCUGUCGUCAGCUCGUGCCGUGAGGUGUUGGGUUAAGUCCCGCAACGAGCGCAACCCUUAUCUUUAGUUGCCAUCAGGUUAAGCUGGGAACUCUAAAGAGACUGCCCGCGUAAGCGGAGAGGAAGGUGGGGACGACGUCAAGUCAUCAUGGCCCUUAUGUCUGGGGCUACACACGUGAUACAAUGGUGCACACAAUGGGCGAAGCCGCAAGGUGGAGGAAAUCCAUAAAGUGCAUCUCAGUUCGGAUUGGAGUCUGCAACUCGACUCCAUGAAGGUGGAAUCGCUAGUAAUCGUAGAUCAGCGCGCUACGGUGAAUACGUUCCCGGGCCUUGUACACACCGCCCGUCAAGCCAUGGAAGUUGGGGGCGCCCAGAAGCGGUAUUUUAAUAUC
rnacentral:rRNA from 1 species